rnacentral:lncRNA from 1 species
CCCGGACCAGAGCCCCACAACUUUCUACAGCCCCGCAAAGCAGCUUUCCGCGGUUUUCCGUUGUAUUCGGCAUCUUCGCCCCACUCGGAGGCCCCUCCGAGUGCAGGGGGCGCCCGGCGUCCGCGACUGCAGGGACCCCCGCCCGUCCCCCGCGGGGACCCCGUUCAGAGAGAGAGAGAGAGAGAGAGAGAGAACAAGAAGGGAAGUCACGGCUCCGUUUCUUCUCCCAAAGUGGUAGAUAAGAAAUCCCAGCCUGAAUCCAACGGGGAGACGCCGCCGGGGUCCUGUCAGGCGCGCGGGAGAGACGCGGUGCCGCUCCGCGCGCCUCAGAGCCGCCGUUUAAAAGUCCCCCCCCCCAAAAAAGAAGGGUUCUGUGCGUGCACAUGUGCAUACAAAACUUGGCUCUCACCGAGAGCGCACGCCCACCCUAGCCCAUCUCCGCGCGGGCCGGGCGCGCACCCGGCUUCCCGCCGGCUCUCAGGAGCCCAGGCAGCGCCAAGCAGGGCGGCCAGCGGUCCAGGGCCUCCUGGCCACGUCGCGAGGCGCCCACCAGGCCGCAGGGACCCACGCGGGCAGCCCCCCCGGUCCCGCGCGGGGGCCGCCAGUGCCUCGCUUCCCCGCAGUCCCUGCGCCCGCCAGCAGGGGGAGCCCGGCCGUUUUACGGUCCGGCCGCGUCCCGGCCCGCGCCGAGCCGCAGAGCGCGGCCGCCCGCCCGGCGCCACCACGGCUGCCCCCGCAACCCUGACCUCCCCUCGCGGCACCAUUAUCAGCGGCGGCGGCCCGCGGGGCUCGGCCCGGAGCCCGCAGCCGCCCCUACCCCGCCCCGCUGCCCUGGGUGCCCGCCUCCACCCCGGCGCCAGCCGUCCCAGGGGCCCGGUCCGUCCCUGGGCGCGCUCCGCAGGGCUUUCCCCCGCGCGGCGCGGCCUGCGCGCAGGUGGACCGGCCGUUUACUCCCUUCCCCGCUCGAAACCCGGCCGCGGGAAUCCGGCCCCAGGGCCUCGCCUCCCGCUCCCAGGUGAGCCGCAGGGGCCGGGGCCCGCGCCGGCAAGCGCCCCGGCCCCAGGGCGCUCCUCCCAGGUUCCCAGCCGGCCCGACCCCUUGCCCGACGCCGGGCUCCGGCUCCCCGCCCGGGACCCCGGGUGCCGACGUCAGACGCGCGGUGCGCUCCCCGCACAGCCCCCGCGGACUCACACUCGCGCGUGUCCGGUUGGCUCAGGGCAGCGCUCAGGGCCCGAAAUAACGCAGGCGGCACGGCUCGGCCAGCGCGCUCGGUUUAUUUCGUAUAAAACGGUGAAGUUGACAAGCAAACUUUUAUAA